rnacentral:rRNA from 1 species
GAUGAACGCUAGCGGCAGGCCUAAUACAUGCAAGUCGAACGGCAAGAUUUGGUAGCAAUACUGAAUCCUAGAGUGGCGCACGGGUGAGUAACGCGUACAUGACAUACCUAUAAGCGAGGGAUAGCAUUGGGAAACUGGUAGUAACCCCUCAUGUGAUUAUUUGUAAUAAAGGUAAAUAAUUAAAACUACGGUGCUUAUAGAUUGGUGUGCGUCUGAUUAGCUAGUUGGCGAGGUAACGGCUCACCAAGGCGACGAUCAGUAGGGGGCGUGAGAGCGUGAACCCCCACACGGGUACUGAGACACGGACCCGACUCCUACGGGAGGCAGCAGUAAGGAAUAUUGGUCAAUGGAGGGAACUCUGAACCAGCCAUGCCGCGUGCAGGAUGAAAGCCCUCUGGGUUGUAAACUGCUUUUAACAGGGAAGAAAUGCUAUACGCGAUAUAGUACUGACGGUACCAUAUGAAUAAGCACCGGCUAACUCCGUGCCAGCAGCCGCGGUAAU